UACGUAGGGCGCAAGCGUUGUCCGGAAUUAUUGGGCGUAAAGAGCUCGUAGGCGGUGUGUCGCGUCGGCCGUGAAAACCUGGGGCUUAACUCUGGGCUUGCGGUCGAUACGGGCAUCACUGGAGUUCGGCAGGGGAGACUGGAAUUCCUGGUGUAGCGGUGAAAUGCGCAGAUAUCAGGAGGAACACCGGUGGCGAAGGCGGGUCUCUGGGCCGAUACUGACGCUGAGGAGCGAAAGCGUGGGGAGCGAACAGG
rnacentral:rRNA from 1 species